rnacentral:rRNA from 1 species
GAUGAACGCUGGCGGCGUGCCUAAUACAUGCAAGUCGAGCGAACAGAUGAGGAGCUUGCUCCUCUGACGUUAGCGGCGGACGGGUGAGUAACACGUGGAUAACCUACCUAUAAGACUGGGAUAACUUCGGGAAACCGGAGCUAAUACCGGAUAAUAUAUUGAACCGCAUGGUUCAAUAGUGAAAGACGGUUUUGCUGUCACUUAUAGAUGGAUCCGCGCCGCAUUAGCUAGUCGGUAAGGUAACGGCUUACCAAGGCGACGAUGCGUAGCCGACCUGAGAGGGUGAUCGGCCACACUGGAACUGAGACACGGUCCAGACUCCUACGGGAGGCAGCAGUAGGGAAUCUUCCGCAAUGGGCGAAAGCCUGACGGAGCAACGCCGCGUGAGUGAUGAAGGUCUUCGGAUCGUAAAACUCUGUUAUUAGGGAAGAACAAAUGUGUAAGUAACUAUGCACGUCUUGACGGUACCUAAUCAGAAAGCCACGGCUAACUACGUG